UACAUGGGGUGCAAACGUUGCUCGGAAUUAUUGGGCGUAAAGCGCACGUAGGCGGUUCGUUAAGUCGGAUGUGAAAGCCCUCGGCUCAACUGAGGAAGUGCACCCGAAACUGGCGAGCUUGAGUACGAAAGAGGAUCGCGGAAUUCCCGGUGUAGAGGUGAAAUUCGUAGAUAUCGGGAGGAACACCGGUGGCGAAGGCGGCGAUCUGGGUCGAUACUGACGCUGAGGUGCGAAAGCGUGGGGAGCAAACAGGG
rnacentral:rRNA from 1 species